rnacentral:rRNA from 1 species
AUUGAACGCUGGCGGCAGGCCUAACACAUGCAAGUCGAGCGGAUGAAGGGAGCUUGCUCCUGGAUUCAGCGGCGGACGGGUGAGUAAUGCCUAGGAAUCUGCCUGGUAGUGGGGGAUAACGUCCGGAAACGGGCGCUAAUACCGCAUACGUCCUGAGGGAGAAAGUGGGGGAUCUUCAGACCUCACGCUAUCAGAUGAGCCUAGGUCGGAUUAGCUAGUUGGUGGGGUAAAGGCCUACCAAGGCGACGAUCCGUAACUGGUCUGAGAGGAUGAUCAGUCACACUGGAACUGAGACACGGUCCAGACUCCUACGGGAGGCAGCAGUGGGGAAUAUUGGACAAUGGGCGAAAGCCUGAUCCAGCCAUGCCCCGUGUGUGAAGAAGGUCUUCGGAUUGUAAAGCACUUUAAGUUGGGAGGAAGGGCAGUAAGUUAAUACCUUGCUGUUUUGACGUUACCAACAGAAUAAGCACCGGCUAACUUCGUG